rnacentral:rRNA from 2 species
ACUUCUUUAGAGCUUGCUUUAAAGAAGUUAGCGGCGGACGGGUGAGUAACACGUGGGCAACCUGCCUGUAAGACUGGGAUAACUUCGGGAAACCGGAGCUAAUACCGGAUAAUAUAUAGUACCUCCUGGUACUAUAUUGAAAGUUGGUUUCGGCUAACACUUACAGAUGGGCCCGCGGCGCAUUAGCUAGUUGGUGAGGUAACGGCUCACCAAGGCAACGAUGCGUAGCCGACCUGAGAGGGUGAUCGGCCACACUGGGACUGAGACACGGCCCAGACUCCUACGGGAGGCAGCAGUAGGGAAUCUUCCACAAUGGACGAAAGUCUGAUGGAGCAACGCCGCGUGAGCGAUGAAGGCCUUCGGGUCGUAAAGCUCUGUUGUUAGGGAAGAACAAGUGCGAGAGUAACUGCUCGCACCUUGACGGUACCUAACCAGAAAGCCACGGCUAACUACGUGCCAGCAGCCGCGGUAAUACGUAGGUGGCAAGCGUUGUCCGGAAUUAUUGGGCGUAAAGCGCGCGCAGGCGGUUUCUUAAGUCUGAUGUGAAAGCCCACGGCUCAACCGUGGAGGGUCAUUGGAAACUGGGAGACUUGAGUGCAGAAGAGGAGGAGUGGAAUUCCACGUGUAGGCGGUGAAAUGCGUAGAGAUGUGGAAGGAACACCAGUG